AGCUGAAAUAAGCAGUCUGAAAAGUCUCUCUCUUCUACUGCUGAAAAUCAUGUGAAAGAAGGAGGUUGCAAAGUGGUUAUUCUGCUACAGAAAGCUGCCUCAAACUGCUCUUCUAGGGUCACGGUGUUGUUGAAGAGGGCUGAGGAUGCCUAUGGCCCCACAUUCAAGCAGAAGAGAGUCAACGUCAUCAGCCUACCUAACCUGAACAAUUUGGAGUGAUGAUGCAGAAUUGUCUGUGUAAGAAGUUGCAUCUAUUUUGUGGUCUCUCCUGAUUAGCUUGCCCUGGCCUUAAUUUUCAUUCUGCCGGAGAAAAACAAGAUUGCUCUCCUGAGCUUUCUCGACUUCAGCAAAUUGAGCUGAUCCCCCUACUUGCAGGAAGGACCUUGUCAGAGGCCACUGCUUGAAUUUUCCCAGAAUUAGAAUAGUUUUUUGUGAAACAACAGCAACAACACUCGCUCAGCCAGAUGGAAAGUGAAGAGACACAUCAUUUGGAUACCUGUCUGCAUCUCUGUUGAAGAAACUAGCACGUGUGCAGUUCUCAAGGGGGCAGAGGAGGAACAAAGCCUUGCCAUCAAGUCGGUUCCAGCAGACAGAAAUCAAUAUUUCCUGCAGAAUUCUUCUAGCGCUAUCAGGAAAGUGACAAUACAGAUAUCAUCAGUUUAGAUGAGAAGAAAGGGGUGAUAGUAGAACAUGGAAGAAGUGAAUAUAUUAAGACAAAGUACAAAGUAACAUAACCAGCCAGCCAGACCUAGAGAAAGCCAUGCUGCAUGUGAAACCUGUGUCCUAGGAUAUUACUUAGGCUUCACAGGCAGCAAAGAGAGACGCACAACCAUCCAGCCUUUCUCUGCAACUGGAGUGAAUUGAUCUCCAAGCAUGCUAAUACAUCCCCUAAAUUUUAUGAGAAAGUUUUCCAGUACUUCCAACAAAUGCCAACAACAUACAAGACCUGGAGGCUUAGUAGCUAGGUGUGAUAUGGACAUUGCAUCUUAAUUUUAACAUUUGAAUAAGCUUAUAUCUCUGGCUAGUCAGCCACCUGUCAAGACUUUUUUUUUAAAAAAAAAUAGCCCUCAGGAAAGCCUGGAAAAUGAAGUAUAC
ensembl:lncRNA